rnacentral:rRNA from 1 species
UGGGGAAUAUUGCACAAUGGGCGCAAGCCUGAUGCAGCCAUGCCGCGUGUGUGAAGAAGGCCUUCGGGUUGUAAAGCACUUUCAGCGGGGAGGAAGGCGUUAAGGUUAAUAACCUUGGCGAUUGACGUUACCCGCAGAAGAAGCACCGGCUAACUCCGUGCCAGCAGCCGCGGUAAUACGGAGGGUGCAAGCGUUAAUCGGAAUUACUGGGCGUAAAGCGCACGCAGGCGGUCUGUCAAGUCGGAUGUGAAAUCCCCGGGCUCAACCUGGGAACUGCAUUCGAAACUGGCAGGCUAGAGUCUUGUAGAGGGGGGUAGAAUUCCAGGUGUAGCGGUGAAAUGCGUAGAGAUCUGGAGGAAUACCGGUGGCGAUGGCGGCCCCCUGGACAAAGACUGACGCUCAGGUGCGAAAGCGUGGGGAGCAAACAGG